AACAUCGCGCACCUGCGGGAACCUGCGGAAGGAUCAUUACAGAGUUCAUGCCCUCACGGGUAGAUCUCCCACCCUUGAAUACUAUACCUUUGUUGCUUUGGCGGGCCGCUUUGGCUACUGGCUCUGGCUAGUAAGUGCCCGCCAAAGAACCCCAAAACUCUGAAUAUUAGUGUCGUCUGAGUACUAUAUAAUAGUUAAAACUUUUAACAAUGGAUCU
rnacentral:misc_RNA from 1 species